rnacentral:lncRNA from 1 species
CCAGAUUUCAUAUACUCCACAGCAGUAACUUUUCAACCCCCCUCUAAAGAACAUUUAUCAUCAAACAAAUAUUACAAUAAACCUUAAUUUGAGUAGAUUGAGACUUCGAAUAAAUUUCCAAAAGAAACUUAACAGCACAGACACUUACCUCCCCUUAAAAUAUGGUCUGGACUCAAAACUUGCAUCUAUGAUGGGCUGAUUUUGCUAACUUUCCAUAGCUUUAAACAAAUCCAAACAAAAAUGUUCAAUCUAACUAGCCUCGGGCUGUAGCAUAUCCAACAGUCCACAUACCCAACAACUACAAUCAUUUUUACAAGACAACAUACUGAAUUUAAACACCCAUUCAAACUUACAAACAAACCUUAAGCUAAUAACAUAAAUAAACAAGCAAACACAUGAAGAAAAGCUAAACUACUAGAGAAGUAAGGGUGAUAACAUAAGAUAACAUUUGAUAAACAUCAUGUCAUGAACUUUCAACUGGACCAUGUAACUUCAGAUUUCUCAUUCUUACACAUCUAGAGGUCUAGGAAGUACCUGAAUACAACAAAAAACAACAAGGGAACAACAUGAGGUUAGGAAGAAAUAGUUACAGUAUAUCAACAACAAUGCAAACGAUUCAAUCCAUGUUGGAGCCCAGAAAUAGCAAAGUAUUGUAAAGUCUUUUGAAAGAAACCUAGAAAAUUGAACUAGUUGAUCAUGGAAAAUAACCUGGUCCCUUUUUGUUUAUUUUUUGAUCUCGAAACUCUCUUAAUGUGUGGGUAUUUAGUGUUUUAGGUGAAAAAGGUAAUGCUGGAAGAUAUUUCAACCAUUUUUGACUUUAGUGUUCUGAUCCUCUUCUAAAAAUUUAGGAAAUGGGACCUUUAUAGAAGAGUUUUAGGCCAUCAGUAAAUAUUUUGCUAUUUAUU